GAGGUAGGCCAAUGAACAGCAGAACAAAGUGACAGACACGAACAUAACCCAGCCCUGGAGGAUUGGCACGGGGACGUUUGAGGAGGCCACGAGAAUCCAAACCAAACCCCCAAAGACCUGGGAAACAGAACAGAAGAUGAAUGAUAUCAGGGUGUGGAGGAGAAACAGUGGAGCUGGAGAUUUGCUUUGAAGUUCAACAGUGCUGCUGUAUGAGGGCUGGAGCUCUAACAGGAGAACAGAGGAGAAGCGCGAGUGUGAAAUCAUGUGUGUGAGCACCUCGGUAUGGUUCCCUCUUCACCCCCUACAGGAGAACACACACUUACUAUCUCCAAGCAGAUCAGAGCUCCUGAAUAGGUCCGGAUGACAUCCAGCCCCAGCGGCAGGGAUAUGGUGGGUGCCGGUAAAGAGGUGGCCGCCGGGUUCGUUGCUUCUGCCAUCGUUCUGCAGUUCAACAGCAAGCAAGUGAGUGAAAGAGAGAAAGAGAGAGAGAGAGAAAGAGAGGGGUGGAAGAAAUUCCACAAGUGUCACGUGAUAUGCAGAACCGGUCCUGCAGGUGUGUGUGUGUAUGUGUGUGUGGAGCCACUCCUGCCCUCUGUCCUCAGUGUGGAAUGCAGGAGAGGACAAAAAGGCGUCUCAGCGUGUUAAUGAUUAACACAAAGCCUCAGCAUGGAACGGCUCUCGGGUCAACAUUGUGUUAAGAGUAUCGGAGGAGAUAACGAGCUCUCAGAAGGUGCUGACGUCACCAGGUGAUGCUGAAGGACAUGGACUUCGGGAUGAAAAAAAUUUAAGACUUAACUGGAAAAAACUGAGUAAAUUCAGUCUGUAUGAGGAUAAAUAAAACCCUUCAUGCUGUGUGUUAUUAUUAUUAUUAUUAUUAUUAUUAUUAUUAUUAUUAUUAUUAUUAUUAUUAUUAUUACACUUCUAACAUCUGUGUUUGAUGUGAUCAUCUUUUCUUCAUAUAUAACUUAAACAUAGCUGAAAAACAGUUAGAGAUUAAUUAAUUAUUAGCCAAAAUCAACUCACACAAUGUGUCAUUGAACUUUUAACCACACACACACACACACAGAUC